GUCCACGCCGUAAACGAUGAUAACUAGCUGUCCGGGUUCAUAGAACUUGGGUGGCGCAGCUAACGCAUUAAGUUAUCCGCCUGGGGAGUACGGUCGCAAGAUUAAAACUCAAAGGAAUUGACGGGGGCCUGCACAAGCGGUGGAGCAUGUGGUUUAAUUCGAAGCAACGCGCAGAACCUUACCAGCGUUUGACAUCCCGAUCGCGAUUACCAGAGAUGGUUUUCUUCAGUUAGGCUGGAUCGGUGACAGGUGCUGCAUGGCUGUCGU
rnacentral:rRNA from 1 species